rnacentral:rRNA from 1 species
AGUGAACGCUGGCGGUAGGCCUAACACAUGCAAGUCGAACGGCAGCACAGUAAGAGCUUGCUCUUACGGGUGGCGAGUGGCGGACGGGUGAGGAAUACAUCGGAAUCUACUUUUUCGUGGGGGAUAACGUAGGGAAACUUACGCUAAUACCGCAUACGACCUACGGGUGAAAGCAGGGGAUCUUCGGACCUUGCGCGAUUGAAUGAGCCGAUGUCGGAUUAGCUAGUUGGCGGGGUAAAGGCCCACCAAGGCGACGAUCCGUAGCUGGUCUGAGAGGAUGAUCAGCCACACUGGAACUGAGACACGGUCCAGACUCCUACGGGAGGCAGCAGUGGGGAAUAUUGGACAAUGGGCGCAAGCCUGAUCCAGCCAUACCGCGUGGGUGAAGAAGGCCUUCGGGUUGUAAAGCCCUUUUGUUGGGAAAGAAGAGCAGCAGGUUAAUACCCCGCUGUUCUGGCGGUACCCAAAGAAUAAGCACCGGCUAACUUCGUG